ACUGGACUCAGCAGCAGCCACCUAGCCUAUUAUUGAUUUCUAGAUGAAAAGAUCUUUUAUCUGAGCUAUGGAGAGUGGAAGAGGACAGGGCCGGGAGAGUAGAUGAGGAAGUCUUUUUCAUCUUUCUUCAGUUUUUCUCUGGGAGACUCUGGGAACAGAGCUGAAGUGGUGCGAAAGCACCUUCACACUUCCUUUGCUGAGGUGAUCCGCUAAUUGCAUGCUAUCAGGAAAUGUGUAAGAUGGGAGUGAGAUGGUUUCCCAGGGGGCCCUUCUUCCUGUGCUCCAUCAAGAAAUACAUUUUCACUUGCUGGUGUCUGAGCAGUGCCUGUGUGGCUGCUAGAGAAUCCUUCUGGCUUUUCUAAGUGAAUGCACCUCUCUAAGCUGCAAGCUUUCUGGAUGGCCCCACCCUGGUCUCAUCCCUGAGAAAUCUUGUCAUUUUUUCCCACUGGUAUAGUUUUCUUCUGCAUGAGUGAUGCACAUACACUGCCCGGCCCAUUAGUUGUAGGCGUUUGUGGCUCAGUUUGCUCCAUUUAUUUCUUAUUUUGUUCUCAGGCAUCUUUAGGGCUGUGAGCUACAGCUUUUCUCCUUGAGCAUGGAUUUGUAGAAUCAUAGGAGCUUAGACUUGAGAUACACCUUAGAUAUCAUUGUAUUGAACUGCUAAUCACCUUAUUUUACAGAAGGAGAAACUGAGGCCUGGUGGGGUUAAAGUCAUCUUAACAUUUAGAGGUAGAAUGGGGACGAGAACUUGGUCACUUAACUUUUGAACUGGUCCUUACUUUGGUUUCUCUUGCUGCUAUACCUCUUGCUCCUUCAAGGACCUUGCCCCAGCAAGAGCCAACUUUAGACUUGGACACAAGGGCCCUUGAUUUGGACUCAGUGUUUUAGAGGGCCCUGUGCUGGCUCUCCUUCAGCCAUGUCCCCCUCCAUGGGAUGUGUAGUUGGCAGGACCAAGGGGAUGCAUCCAUCUGGAGCUCUCACCCUAGCCCUCUAGAACUUACUCCAGUACCUAGGAUCCUGGAAUUCCCUGUCCAAAGGUCUUAGCUCAUUUCCAGGGCCUAUGUGGACUUCUACCCCAAAUCUGUUCUCCGAAGGGCAAACCUGGUGACCAGUGGGCACCCCUGAAGCCAAUGGGGUAGACAGAGACAGCUCUUUGUGAGGGCUGCAUAUGGAGUUUGAACCAGGCCUGGUGUGUGCACGACAUCCUUCACAAUAUGUCAGGUCUGGAUUCAAUUUAGCCUUAUUUAUAGAAGAUAUGAGAUUCCUGGGUCAAAGACAAAGGAUUCUAUUGCUCAGUAGACAGAGUGAGCAGCAGCAUAUAUGUAUCAGUUCUCCUUGCCCCCAGGUGCCAGGACAGAUCCGGGUGGAUGCUGUGCUCUCAGUGGGGAUUGUGUCACAGCUAAGGAAGCCUGAGCUUGGAGAAUCCACUGCUUUUAUAGCAAGCAAUCAGUAAACCUGCUUCUUGCCCAGGGAGAGACAUUACCUCAUCUGUCCAGGUUACCAGCUUCAUAACAACCUUGAGAGGUGGCCCAUCAUAAAAGAGCAGUGAGAGCCUUUCCAUCUUGGCAUCCACAGCAGAAUGUGUAGGAACACAAGAAGACCCAAGAGACUGUCUCUCUCCAACGGUGUGGAGCAGGCUGAGGCCUGGAGUAAUUCUGCUUAUACUACCACAUUUUGGCAAGCAGCCCUGGGAAGUCCAAGAAUUCUGUUCAAACCUGGCCAUAGAGGGAGCCGGAAGGAGCAGGUGUUGGGCUGCUUGACUUGUAGAAACCUUAAGAUGUGUGGCAUGUGGACUUCAUUUGUACACUUUCCUCAGACCUCACAGAAUUAAGGGACAUGCUUGCCUGACAUUUAUCUCUAUUGUUAUCAGAAAUAAAAUUCCUUAAUCUUUUUCUUUGAUCUUCCUCUUAGCUAUAGUCUUUCUAACUCUACUUUUCUUGUUCUUGACAAUCUCUAUAUGAUUCCUAUUAAAGGUCUUUCCAGCCAAGUCUACUGGGUUUUGACUGGAUUCUGGCUCUCCUGGUCUGUUUGUUUAGCCCACACAGCUGUGUCUGUUUGCACUAAUUUUGUGUAUUUGUUCCCUACACACUAUUAUGGUUUUCUGUGUGUGGGUUCAUCUCUUCUCUCUUAGACUGACAAUAACUGGCUGAACCCACCCCCAGCUGCACACAAAGAAGCUAUUUGAGGACUGAUAAAUGACCCAAGUUACUCUACUGUACACUUUUACCUUGGUUUUAAUUCACUUUUCAUUUCUGCAUUAUCUCUAACUUCUGGUUGUGUGAAGAGUGUGAACUUUCUUUCCACAUGGAAAUAUUUCAAACUUCAAAGGAUUAUUGGGUACUAAACUAAGUUCCCCAGAGGGAUUUAAAAGGCAUUUUAGUGUAAUUUAGUGUAAAGUUCAAAAUUCCACAGCCUCAGUUUUUGUUCCUUGGCCAGUGUUUGUUCCUGGGCCAGUAGGUAAUAUAGCAUUUCAGAAAUGCCCUCUGGUUCCUACAAAAUAAAGAAGCCUCUUGUAAUGUAGCAAUUAACACAGGAAGAAAAAGGAGAAAAUUUAUACGCUUUUUUUUUUCAUUUAGGCCAGAGCCCCAUGAACAACCUUCAAAACUUAAGUAAAAGGCCAUAAACAUAUAGGUAUUUACUCAAGGUUUAGGAGUUUGAGCUGAUAUGGUUGUCUUUUGUGUAUGACACACUUUAGUAUUUAAAUGUCUUUGAGAUUGUUCAUGAUUUUCCUUAAAUAUCCUUAUGAAAUGUGUAGAACUUAUAAUUAUUAACAUUGUAUCCCGCCACCUCCCUGCCCUCCAUCCCAGGAUUUUGAGGUAGAGGUUUCAGCUGUUGGACACCCCCUUCUCACCUCAGAACCUCCCAGGCACUAACUCUAGAUGUGACUCGGGUGGGGUGGGAAGGGAUUCAGGGGGGAUUUUGCCUCAGAAGGACAUGGAUGCUCAUCUCUUCCAUCAUGAGGUCACCUGAUCAUCACCUGAGUUUUGUUUUUUUGAGAUGGAGUCUUGCUCUGUCACCCAGGCUGGAGUGCAGUGGCGUGAUCUCGGCCCACUGCAACCUCUGCCUUCCGGGUUCAAGCGAUUCUUGUUCCUCAGACUCCUAGCUACUCAGGAGGCUGACACAGGAGAAUUGCUUGAACCUGG
rnacentral:lncRNA from 1 species